GAUGAACGCUGGCGGCGUGCCUAAUACAUGCAAGUAGAACGCUGAAGCUUGGUGCUUGCACCGAGCGGAUGAGUUGCGAACGGGUGAGUAACGCGUAGGUAACCUGCCUGGUAGCGGGGGAUAACUAUUGGAAACGAUAGCUAAUACCGCAUAACAGUCGACAUUGCAUGAUGUUGAUUUGAAAGGGGCAAUUGCUCCACUACCAGAUGGACCUGCGUUGUAUUAGCUAGUUGGUGAGGUAACGGCUCACCAAGGCGACGAUACAUAGCCGACCUGAGAGGGUGAUCGGCCACACUGGGACUGAGACACGGCCCAGACUCCUACGGGAGGCAGCAGUAGGGAAUCUUCGGCAAUGGACGGAAGUCUGACCGAGCAACGCCGCGUGAGUGAAGAAGGUUUUCGGAUCGUAAAGCUCUGCUGUAAGAGAAGAACGAGUGUGAGAGUGGAAAGUUCACACUGUGACGGUAACUUACCAGAAAGGGACGGCUAACUACGUGCCAGCAGCCGCGGUAAUACGUAGGUCCCGAGCGUUAUCCGGAUUUAUUGGGCGUAAAGCGAGCGCAGGCGGUUAGAUAAGUCUGAAGUUAAAGGCUGUGGCUUAACCAUAGUACGCUUUGGAAACUGUUUAACUUGAGUGCAGAAGGGGAGAGUGGAAUUCCAUGUGUAGCGGUGAAAUGCGUAGAUAUAUGGAGGAACACCGGUGGCGAAAGCGGCUCUCUGGUCUGUAACUGACGCUGAGGCUCGAAAGCGUGGGGAGCAAACAGG
rnacentral:rRNA from 1 species